CAGCCGCCGCGGGAAUACGUAGGGUGCAAGCGUUAAUCGGAAUUACUGGGCGUAAAGCGUGCGCAGGCGGUUAUAUAAGACAGAUGUGAAAUCCCCGGGCUCAACCUGGGAACUGCAUUUGUGACUGUAUAGCUAGAGUACGGCAGAGGGGGAUGGAAUUCCGCGUGUAGCAGUGAAAUGCGUAGAUAUGCGGAGGAACACCGAUGGCGAAGGCAAUCCCCUGGGCCUGUACUGACGCUCAUGCACGAAAGCGUGGGGAGCAAACAGGAUUAGAUACCCCGGUAGUCCCUGUCUCUUAUAU
rnacentral:rRNA from 1 species